CGCCUCUUGCUAACAAAGGAAGUACUAGAGGUCCCGCCUGCCCUGUGACCACAAAGUUUAACGGCCGCGGUAUCCUGACCGUGCGAAGGUAGCGUAAUCAUUUGUCUUUUAAAUAGAGACCUGUAUGAAUGGCAUAACGAGGGUUUAACUGUCUCCUUCCCCUAGUCAAUGAAAUUGAUCUGCCCGUGCAGAAGCGGACAUAAACACAUAAGACGAGAAGACCCUAUGGAGCUUUAGACAAAAGAUCAAACAUGUAAAGAAACCAAACCAACCAAAAGGAACACGAAGGCCACAAAACCCAACGUAAACUGAUCUAAAUGUCUUCGGUUGGGGCGACCAUGGGGGAAAGAAAAGCCCCCACGAGGAACAGGGACAACCCCUAAACUAAGAGAGACACCUCUAAGCAACAGAAAAUCUGA
rnacentral:rRNA from 1 species